CCAUAUAGAACUCAUAAAUCAUCUGAUACACAUUCCCCCUCCUCGACCAAUCUGCUUUUCCCUCCACUAUAGCAGAUGGAUCGACGAGGAACUCUCCACCCUCCUUAUCAAAGGGGCUAUAGAACGAGCACCUCCCAACCCCGCAGGUGUCAUUAGCAACAUCUUCCUGGUGGAAAAGAAAGGCGGUCAAUUGAGACCCGUCAUAAAUCUACGCCCCCUCAAUGCCAUAGUCAGGUACUG